ACCUGGCGGGCUCAGUUGGUAGAGCACAAGACUCUUGACCUUGGGAUUUUGGGUCUGAACCCCACGUUGGGUG
rnacentral:tRNA from 1 species